CACCUUCACCUCAAGAAAACCACCGCCAGGAAGCCUCGUCGCCCUCGCCGGUGAACGAUCAUCCGAAUCACCUGCCUCCGUUAUGCUUGAUGAGGAAGUCCCCGAUCUCGAAUCUGAGGGCCGUGGGAUCUCCGGGGGAGGGCCGAUGAUGUAGGUGGGUUCGAGGAAUGUGGGUUAGGGUUGGAUGCGAGGAUGAUGGGUGUUACUCAUGGUUUGUGUUAUUGUGAGUAGUUGCCAUCCCCAACUUUUCAGAUGUAUCUAUUGUGAUGGCGUGGCAUGAGACGCAGAGAUUAGAUCUAUCGUUUGGGAAUUUGUCAUGACAAGGUAUGAUCACAAAUCAACGAGAUUCGUUUCUUCGGAAGCUCCAACUUUGCUCUAUUAAUCACUGCUAAGGACAUCUGCUACACGUUCAUUCUAGCCAAUCCAAAGACUCAGUGUCCUAAAUAGAGUUAUAACGAGGUCUAUGAGAAACUCAGGAUAUCUGAAGUCAGACUUUGGAAGUAAUGCAGUCUAUGCUGGAUGGUGAUUCCUAUUUCCACUCCUUACAGAGAUACUUGGAAUAAGAUGAGUAAUGUCUGCCUUUUGUAUUUCCCUUGAUGAUUUGUACAAUGAUACCAAUAUCUCUUUUUGAUUUUCACAAGUAUAUAAAAGCUUUAUUGUUCAUAUGAGAUAGACAAAUAAUGAGGGAAAAUUUACUGAUGCUGUAAUUUCUGCUGAUAAAUCAAUAAUAGCUGUUGGAAUUUUC